rnacentral:tRNA from 1 species
GGCUGUGGCUCAGUGGUACAGUGUUUACCUGGCACGUGUAAGGCACUGGGUUCAAUCCUCAGUACCA